CAAUGGGCUAGACCGGAGGGUUAGGGGUCCUCUGUAAGCGCAAAUCCCCUAUACGGCGCGGUCGAAGUUCAGGGGACGGCUGAUCGACUGUUUAUCGGCCCUGCUGAUUGGUGUCGAAGCCUCGUCCCGCAGGAUCAGUGGUGAUGGGGCCCUGACUGGAGGGUCAGGGUAAACCAUCUUAGUCAUGGGAACGGGUCAGGCCUGGAAAGGAGCAGCCCUACCAUGGACAGCUGAUGCUUGUGGAUUAACGGGGUGGAGCCAGUCAGCGGGAUCACCGGUAAAUGGAAGGUCUGUCAACCCCUGAACGUGCCCACCC
rnacentral:SRP_RNA from 1 species